UUAAAAGACAUAGUAAAACAUCUUAUAUGUUUAAGACGACGCCCAUUCGUUAUGGGCUGCCUUUGUACCAAUAAGUUAGCCUACUCAGAAAAAACAACAAUCCUUAUUAAUAACCCCAAAAACAAUAUAUUUAAUAAUUAAACCAUUUUUCCCCUUAAGUAUGAGCGACUGAAUGAGGGA
rnacentral:rRNA from 1 species